rnacentral:tRNA from 1 species
GGUGGUGGCUCAGCGGUAGAGAAUUUGCCUCGCAUGUGCAGGCCCUGGGUUCGAUCCUCAGCACCA